rnacentral:rRNA from 1 species
GACGAAGGGGGCUAGCGUUGUUCGGAAUUACUGGGCGUAAAGCGCGUGUAGGCGGUUGUCCAAGUCGGGUGUGAAAGCCUUGAGCUCAACUCAAGAAAUGCACUCGAUACUGGGUGACUUGAGGACCGGAGAGGAUAGUGGAAUUCCCAGUGUAGUGGUGAAAUACGUAGAGAUUGGGAAGAACACCAGUGGCGAAGGCGGCUAUCUGGACGGUUUCUGACGCUAAGACGCGAAGGCGUGGGGAGCAAACAGG